rnacentral:misc_RNA from 1 species
CUUAACGUUUAGGGAGAGCUCUCAUCAUUUAAGUAAUUUUCAUCCUUGUCAAAAGUACAGCUCAACACCAUUUAGUAUGGACACAUGGCCUAAACCCAUGAGAUAAAACAAAAUCAAUAACUUACGAACCAUAUUGAUAAAAUAAGAUAUCUAAUUGAAAAAGUGCACAAAGUUUUGAAUAUAUUAAUUACCCCUUUGGACCCCAGUGCACUUUGCACCUUCAAUUAAAAUGGCUAGAAAAUCAACUAGAGGCAAUCUUUCUCAAAAGAGGGCUAAUUAAGAAAUAUCAAAAAGAAAGAACAAAUUAUCCAAGUGGAAAGCAAGUUGAAUUGUGUGUCAAGUCAUUUCACCCAAGGCAAAGUUGUUCGCUAAACAUGUUACAUGUCUUCUAGCUCCUCAGAAACAUGAGCCUGUUUCAUGCAAGUAUCAACAAGGUUCUAAAAAUUUCUAGUUACGGGAUCUGAAAGGGGCAAAUUCAAUCUUUCCAUUAUGGUUUUGUGAACGAUGCCAUAUCUUUUUAUCAAGUCAUUUCACAAAAGGGAAUAGCCAUAAUAUAUCAAAAUAAGAAAGGAAGAAAGAGAAAAAGAGGCUUACUUGGGGUUGGGGCUAGUGGUUGAAGAUUCUUUCUUUUUUCUUUUUCCAUUCUUAUUCUUUUCCUUUCUAGCAGGCUUUAUUUGAAGCUUUUAUUUGGUUGGUCACUACUAGCCAUUUAAGAAAAACAAUUAUAUAAAUGUGGGACUUUUUCACAAAAUAAUCUAACACUAUUAUCCCCUAUUAGAAUCCAGAACUCUUGCUCCACUAUUUUAUGCAUUUGAGGUUAUCAUCCUUGUAAAGAGUGAAAUUUGACUUUGGUGGUUUCUCAUUUACAAAAGAGGUCAAAGAUUGUGAGAACAUCAACAUAUCACAAGGAUGAAAGAAAUAUCAACAGAAGAACACAAUUUCCCUCAUAAAAAUAUGAAAAGUAAGACAACCAAAAUUAUCUAAACUUCUUAACUAUGCUAAUUUAUUGACCAUUGAAUUCCCCAUGACCUUCUUUGAUAGUAAAACACUAAAGAAUUCACUUUUAAGAAAUAUGAAUUGAUUAUGACAAAGUUUCAAAGGAAAAAAAAUGAGAAAAGGAGCCUAAAG